AAUGGUGGAAUGGCCGAGUAUACCCUCAACUGGAUCGCCUCUCUGAAACGAACCAAGCUGGACGACAAAUACUUGGUGUUUGCUAUGGAGGAUCAAUUGGAGGGCAAGUCUGGUGCCAGCAGCCGCGGUAAUUCCAGCUCCAAAAGCGUAUAUUAAAGUUGUUGCAGUUAAAACGUCCGUAGUCGAAUUUACGCC
rnacentral:ncRNA from 1 species